AGUUAUGUAGAAAUAUCGACACUGACUGCGAAAGAACACGAGCCCACGAGCCACAACAGCGAUACAAGGGAUAAUGAUCAAGAAGAAGACAGAGGGUAUGUGAUUUUUUUCUUGCCGUAUACUAAACUUGUUUUUAGAUGUUUCCUUUAGAUGAGGAAGAUUCUUAUGAAGAGAUGAGGAGGAUGCUGAUGGAGCUAUGAGGAGGAUGCUGAUGGAGCGAGGAGGAGGAUGCUGAUGGAGC